GCUUACGGCCAUAACAGCCUUAAUGCGCCCGAUCUCGUCAGAUCUCGGAAGCUAAACAGGGUCGGGCCUGGUUAGUACUUGGAUCGGAGACUGCCUGGGAAUACAUGGUGCUGUAAGCA
rnacentral:rRNA from 1 species